UAACGCGUGAGCAAUCUGCCUUACACAAAGGGAUAGCCUCGGGAAACCGGGAUUAAUACCAUAUGAUAUCUAUUCACCGCAUGGCUUAUAGAUUAAAGAAAUUCGGUGUAAGAUGAGCUCGCGUCCCAUUAAUUAGUUGGUGAGGGUAACGGCCCACCAAGAUAGCGAUGGGUAGCCGAUCUAAGAGGAUGACCGGCCACAUUGGAACUGAGAAACGGUCCAAACUCCUACGGGAGGCAGCAGUGGGGAAUAUUGCACAAUGGGGGAAACCCUGAUGCAGCGACGCCGCGUGAGCGAUGAAGGCUUUCGAGUCGUAAAGCUCUGUCCUAUGGGAAGAUAAUGACGGUACCAUAGAAGAAAGCCCCGGCUAAUUACGUGCCAGCAGCCGCGGUAAUACGUAAGGGGCGAGCGUUGUCCGGAAUUAUUGGGCGUAAAGAGUGCGUAGGCGGCAAAUUAAGUCAGAUGUGAAAACUAAGGGCUCAACCCAUAGAUUGCAUCUGAAACUGAUAUGCUUGAGUCAAGGAGAGGAAAGUGGAAUUCCUAGUGUAGCGGUGGAAUGCGUAGAUAUUAGGAGGAAUACCGGUGGCGAAGGCGACUUUCUGGACUUGAACUGACGCUGAGGCACGAAAGCGUGGGGAGCAAACAGGAUUAGAUACCCUGGUAGUCCACGCCGUAAACGAUGAGUGCUAGGUGU
rnacentral:rRNA from 1 species